CUGCCAUUCCACAUGUCCCUGUGACCAAGUUGAAAACAAUAUCAUGGAAUGAUCUUGGGCCUAUGGCAAAAGCAUGGGCCACUAUGGACGAAUCACAGCUACAGGAAAAUGGUGUUGUCAAAUAUCCAACAACUGACCACCUAAAAGCAUGGCCGCGUCAUUUCCUGGAGAAUGAGUUCCAAGAUUUAACCAUAGUGAAUGACUACGACCCAGAUACACCUCAUGACUGUUUUGAACAGAUGAAAAUGGAAACAACACAUCUACCAACUGUGCAUGAAGACCCAUUGGUAGAUCCCGAUCUCACCCUGUUUGUGGACGGCUCAAGAUAUGCUGAUGAAGAAAGAAGAUACCAUGCAGGAUAUGCCGUAACCACAACAGAUGAAAUUGUCAAAUCAUCAUCUUUACCAUCAACUAUGUCUGCACAAGAAGCUGAAUUGCAAGCCCUGACUUCAGCAUGCAAGAUCUCUGAAGGAAAGCGCGCCAAUAUCUACACGGAUUCAAGAUAUGCACUGGGCGUGGCUCACGACUUCGGAUUAAUUUGGAAAACAAGAGG